rnacentral:rRNA from 1 species
GAUGAACGCUGGCGGCGUGCCUAAUACAUGCAAGUCGAGCGAACAGACGAGGAGCUUGCUCCUCUGACGUUAGCGGCGGACGGGUGAGUAACACGUGGAUAACCUACCUAUAAGACUGGGAUAACUUCGGGAAACCGGAGCUAAUACCGGAUAAUAUAUUGAACCGCAUGGUUCAAUAGUGAAAGACGGUUUUGCUGUCACUUAUAGAUGAUUCCGCGCCGCAUUAGUUAGUUGGUAAGGUAACGGCUUACCAAGGCAACGAUGCGUAGCCGACCUGAGAGGGUGAUCGGCCACACUGGAACUGAGACACGGUCCAGACUCCUACGGGAGGCAGCAGUAGGGAAUCUUCCGCAAUGGGCGAAAGCCUGACGGAGCAACGCCGCGUGAGUGAUGAAGGUCUUCGGAUCGUAAAACUCUGUUAUUAGGGAAGAACAAAUGUGUAAGUAACUAUGCACGUCUUGACGGUACCUAAUCAGAAAGCCACGGCUAACUACGUG